rnacentral:rRNA from 1 species
UACGUAGGGGGCAAGCGUUGUCCGGAUUCAUUGGGCGUAAAGAGCGUGUAGGCGGCCAGGUAGGUCGGUUGUGAAAACUGGGAGGCUCCAACCUUCAGAGGUCGAACCGAAACCAUCUGGCUAGAGUCGGGAGAGGAGAGUGGAAGUUCCUGGUGUAGCGGUGAAAUGCGCAGAUAUCAGGAGGAACACCGGUGGCGAAGGCGGCAUCCUGGACCAAUUCUGACACUGAGGAGCGAAAGCCAGGGGAGGCAAACGGG